GACGAACGCUGGCGGCGUGCUUAACACAUGCAAGUCGAACGGAAAGGCCCUGCUUUUGUGGGGUGCUCGAGUGGCGAACGGGUGAGUAACACGUGAGUAACCUGCCCUUGACUUUGGGAUAACUUCAGGAAACUGGGGCCAAUACCGGAUAGGAGCUCCUGCUGCAUGGUGGGGGUUGGAAAGUUUCGGCGGUUGGGGAUGGACUCGCGGCUUAUCAGCUUGUUGGUGGGGUAGUGGCUUACCAAGGCUUUGACGGGUCGCCGGCCUGAGAGGGUGACCGGCCACAUUGGGACUGAGAUACGGCCCAGACUCCUACGGGAGGCAGCAGUGGGGAAUAUUGCACAGUGGGCGGAAGCCUGAUGCAGUAACGCCGCGUGCGGGAUGACGGCCUUCGGGUUGUAAACCGCUUUCGCCUGUGACGAAGCGUGAGUGACGGUAAUGGGUAAAGAAGCACCGGCUAACUACGUG
rnacentral:rRNA from 1 species